rnacentral:rRNA from 1 species
AGAUUGAACGCUGGCGGCAUGCCUUACACAUGCAAGUCGAACGGCAGCACGGGAGCAAUCCUGGUGGCGAGUGGCGAACGGGUGAGUAAUAUAUCGGAACGUGCCCAGUCGUGGGGGAUAACGCGAGCGAAAGCUGUGCUAAUACCGCAUACGAUCUCU